rfam:Zea mays cultivar B73 chromosome 6, whole genome shotgun sequence.
ACUCUCGUAUUCACCUCAAUCCGUGUGUAUUGAAGUGGAUUGGAGUGUAAAUUAGUUUAAGUUAUACCUCAAUCCACCUCAAUACACAUGGAUUGAGGUGAAUACGAGA